GUACCCUAGAACACUCAAAACCCUAAUUUGGAACCCUGAAACCCUAAAUAGUGCCCUAUAGGAUGAUUUGAAGUUCUAUGCACUUUUAGUCAAAAGUGUAUACAUAAAAGUUAUUGAGUAACAAAAGCUAAUCAACUUUCAUGUUUGAGGAUUUCCAUGUUUUGUGGUGAAACUUGGAGUAAAUUGCAAAAAGAUCCAAGAGCAUCCUUGUUCUUAACUCUGAAAACAGUGUCGACGAGCCAACUUUGGAUUUCUGUAUCUCUUGAUCCAUGAGGGGUUUGCUAUAAGUUAUUAUAGCAAAGUUGUAGAGCUACUAUAGUUGUCUAAGUUUGACUAAGUGACCUAUCCCAAGAAUGGUACAGAAAUUGGAGUAAAAUGCCCUAGAAGUUGGGCUGUCAGUUGAGCCCUAAUCUGAAAACAGAUUGUUAGUGAUGUUUGCUCAACUUUGGAGCCAAAUUGUGCUUGAUCCAGUGAGUAAAUGAUCAAGAUCUCUGUGACAAAAUUGAAGAUGGUAUAUUGGAGAAUAACUUUGAUGUAAUCGGAUUAGUAGCUCAUCACAUGGAAAUCGAAGAAAAAUGCCCUUGAAGUUGCUUUGUCAAGUGCACCUAAUGGAGUCAGCAUGGUACAGUAGACUGAAGAAGAUCGCGGGUGCAGGGAACUUGCCACCGGCGAUCUCCGUGUGAUGAUUUGGGUUGGCCGCUACGAUUUGUGCUCAAUUCGGGUGACAUGUUACCUCGAAGAUGAAAAGAUCUGAGGGGGAGUGGAUCGUGCCGGUCUCGCCGUAACCACUUGCCCAGCGACAUGGCCGCGCGACUGCCGCCGAUUACCUAAUUGUGCCAUGCCAUACGCCAUCGUACCACGUCAUAGUAAAUCAUGGUGGACGACCAAUUACUGUCCCGAGCCUUUACCCAGUGAGCGCCACGAUAGACGAGCUCCAGUGACUCACCCCUUCACCGCGGUGAAUUCAUCUCCAUCCAAAAUUCGGAGCACCCAUAGCCGACCUCUAUAAGAUGAGUGCCCUCCCUAUUCUGCCCUCUUGUUACGUUCCCAGAGCACCACUCCUCACCUCAAUCCAUCCACUGUAGCCCGAGAAUUUGGAAUUCCCCCAAAUUGGUCGCCAGCGCCACCGUGAGACAUCUCGCCGUGGCCAGAGCUCUCUGAGGUAACCGCGGUCGAGCUUGUGGGUGUUUUGGGUUACAUUACGCAUGGUGAUGCUCAUCAUCCCACCCGGUUGAACUCUACCGUAGCAGGAUCCCCGGAACGCCGUGUCGCCACCGUGGAACGCCGUCGUGGACACUCUCCUCAUCGACCCACUACUCGGUCCUUUCGCCCGUCUUCCUGGUCAUCGUCCUUGAGUCCUGGUGAGUUACUGAAGCUUAUCGUACUUCUAAUUUGAACGCUACCGCGUUGUGUCACUAGGAACGAGUUCGUAAAAUUUUUGGUUUCGCGGGUGUUCAUGGACCGAGCUUUGGGAUAGAGUUCAAGCCCGAUUUUUUAUCCUUAGAGUAGUGCCAAGAGUUGAAUUAGGUGUGAGAGCAACUUUGAGCUCGGAUUAUGGGAUAUGGUGGCCUGCAUAAGUUCGUCGUAGCGAUUGCACCACCGUCCAUGGUCAGGGACCCGGUCGUGUGAAGGAGAAAGAGUGAGAGGGUUUCUUUGUAAAUGUCAGUGACUCAGAAAACAGGGCCUUGGAUUGGUUUUUGGUUAUUCAAAUACCUAGGGCCGUGUAAACGAUCUCACGCGGGCGUGGACGCGAGCGCGUUUCGCCGUUCGUGGGCCGAACCGGACCAGUUUCAGCCUAACCCUGUUCAUUGUUUUUCCUUUUCUUUUUGCCAUUAGUUUAGAAAAUUCAUUAGAAAUGGUAGAAAAUCGGUAAAAUCAUGAGACCAAUUUUGUUAGAUUUCUAAAAUCAAGUAGUAUUUAAUAAAAAUAAUUCCAAGAUUUUUUUUCAAACUUGGAAUUAUGUAGCAUUUACAGGUGCUUAAAUAAAGUCUUUUAGAAUUUUAGAAAUAGUUUAGUAAUUCUAAAAAUCAUAAAAUUUUUUGGGUAGGAUUAAUAUGUGGUAAGAGACCCUGAGUGAAGUUUGAAAUGGUUUGGGCACUGUUUGACUAGAAAAACCCAAUAACUAACUUUAUAGGAUUAAUUAUUUAAUAUUAAUCCUAAAGGACCACCUAACUAGGAAAUCUUAGUGAUUGAUUCGUACCAUGAAGGAAAGUUGUAUUCAAGAUGCAACUUACUAUAUUUCUAUUAUAUGAUUGCAUAUCCAUGACAUAGCAUAAGCAUUCAUGUACAUGUAUUCUCAUGUAUAGAACACGAGGAAGAAUCUGUAGUAGAGGAAGAGGUAGUCUCCCAGACCGAGAAUCCUCCAGUGGAGAACAACUUUUAUUUUGACAUCUGCAGUGUGGAAACAUAAACUCUUACAACACAAGGCAAGCCCCGGUGCAUUAUCUCUUUUCCUUGUUGUUUUAAAAUCUUUAUCACCUUAUAUGAUACAUUAGGUGAUAGGAAUUAUGUGUUAAAGAGUUAAUGCAUUUCCUUCCUUGGAAAAUUUGGUUACAGUCCUUGUUACAUGUUUUAUUUAAACAAGUUUUCUGAUGCUUAGUUUUGCUAUAGAAAACAAAAUGUUUUGUUUUGAAAAAGAUGAUGCUUCACAUUGGAUGUGGAUUUUUACAAAGAAAAUACUUAAGAUGGUGGAUCCAUCACGGCCGUGAUGGGUUCAACAUCUGAAAAGAGUACCUCUUCCAGGUACCAAACUUUGGGGUUUUAAGUAAUAAAUAUGAGACCGGGUGGGUGACUUGCACGAGAGGGGAGUCUCGGUGUAGUGUCUCCGUCUGAGUCGUUUAAGGAAAGAGCCGAUGUAGGCUUGAUGAUCAAGGACCUUUUAAUUGGCCACAUGCCUCAUAAUGGGUAAACUUUGCCUCGGUCGGACCAAUACCAGAAAGGCCAUCACACAAUGGGAGUGGAGAGAUGGCGAGAGUAGUGUGCACCCUCCGUGGCAAGAGGCUAGACGGUGGAGUAUCUGUGCUCUCGGUUGGCGUGAACCCAUUCUGGUCUUGAGAAACCCAGGUGCGAGUUGACAUAUGCAAGGGUUAAGUGCUACAUAUGUCGUGUGGUUGGAGAUCCCCAGCUAGGUAUUAAUCGAUACGGAUCGCUGUUACUUCUCGGACAUUAAGACUUGGUCACCGCCCUACACGUAGCAACAAGUGAACUGAAGGGAUGAUAAAAAGAUGGCUAGUAUAGGCGAAGUGCUUGAUCUAAGAAUAAAAAAGAAUCUAGAUGUAGGUAAUUACUUAACCUGAAGAGAAAAAAUGAAUUUUUAAGGAUCCACUCAUAGUAAGGUUUUCAGCAAAAAGAGUCUUUGAAACUUGUUAAGCUUUACCUUGAUUCCCAAAGACAAGCAUAUACUUGAGAGUCUUUUUCCUUAGACGGGUAAGACUUGCGAAAGUACACUCCGUACUCAGGGUUUUCAAGCCCAUGUUGUUGUAGGUGAUGAAACUGUUGAGUUUUGCUAUUUCUGCUCCAAGGUUGUCCCGAAACAGGAGGAGGAGAACUAAGACCUUCCUGGGGAAGGUGGUUUGCCUUCCUAUAAUGUAAUAAGUUUAAGCACUCAGUACUCGGUUAUGUAAUAAUCAACUCUUUCUAUAUUAUACUUAUGCAUGUAAAUUAUGUUAUUGUAAUCCUUUCCGCUUACUCAGAUGGUGUGUAAUGUCUAUGUUAUGUGAUAAGCGCUCUUAGGUGAUGUGAUGGAGAUACAAAUAAUCGGACCUGCCGAGCCAUUGAGCGCACCAACAUGACUGUCUGAGGUCCUCAGGACAAGGACAUUUAUAAGUGGGCAUAAUAUCUUGGGAGGUUCCGUGACAGGUGGUAUCGGAGCAAAGCCCAUUCCUUCAGACAUUACUUAGUGCUUCAAAAGAUUUUAAAAUCCUCACCUUUGAAUAUUCUUUCAUUCUUACCUUGAUCCUUUCUUAUAGCAACUUAUCUUUUGAGAAGUCGGGUAACAAAGUGCCAAAUAAGAGGUUAUAUAUAGGGGGUAUGGGAUCAACAAGUAGUUGGUUCCAUAAUUGUAGGUCAUGCAUGCAUCAUAUUUAAACAACACUAAGUAAUCUUCGCAUCUUAUAGAGACAUGGCACACAUAAAGACUACCCAGCGGAAGGGGAACGGGCCUCAGGGUGUACCUCGGCACCAGUUGGCUCCUCGACAUGAGGGGAGCAGUAGUGGGAGUAAUGAUCCCAUAGGGGAUCUAGAGGCUAGAGUUGAACGUCUAACGAUGGAACUGCGCCAUGGAGGCAGGGAGCGUGCGUGUGAUAGUCGCUGCAUCGCUGAGUUGUGAGCAGAGGUUGAACGUUUGCGGCGGGAGAUUGUGGAGCGGGAUAGGGAUAUUGACUAGGCUAUAAAUUCACGAUCUAUAGCCUCAGAUUGUGAGGUGACUGCCUGAGCCCGGGUGGAAGAGCUAAGCGUAGCCCUAGAAAAUCUGCAAGGAUACAAUAAUGCUCUGCACGAGGAAGUGCACAUGCUGUAUGACCAGCUACAUCCGAACGUGCCACCCGAGGUUGCGGUGAUGGAAGCUGGUGCAACAGGAGCAGCUGGCGAAAGACCUUAUGGGGAGCUAGAUCCCUUUGGAGCCCCUCCUUCCAUGAACAUCGCGGAUGAUCGCCCUCCCGAAGCUAGCAGUGGUGCGGGAGCAGACAAGGAUGCAGAGGACUAGAUUAGUGUAGUAGUAGGUUGUUUCCUUAUGUAGUUUCAAUAAGGAAAAUUGAGUUGUAUAAGUUGAGUAUGUAUAAUUAGAACAAGCUUGGAAUAAUGUAACAGAGGCUGUAAUUGUGAUAUGUGUUGGCUAGCCAUUCUAGGUGAUAUGUAACAUUGAGUGAAUGUUCAAUAACAUAUCUGUUGACACCACAAAGAUCAUUGGCUGACCAAGCAAAAACAUCCUUGUUGUUGAACAGAAGUUUAAUAAGAGUUUUCUCUUGUU
rnacentral:lncRNA from 7 species